rnacentral:rRNA from 1 species
GAUGAACGCUGGCGGUAUGCUUAACACAUGCAAGUCGAACGGUCACUUCGGUGAUAGUGGCGGACGGGUGAGUAACGCGUGAGAAUCUGUCUUCAGGUCGGGGACAACAGUUAGAAAUGACUGCUAAUACCGGAUAUGCCUUAUGGUGAAAGAUUUAUUGCCUGAAAGAGAGCUCGCGUCAGAUUAGCUAGUAGGUGGUGUAAGAGACUACCUAGGCGACGAUCUGUAGCUGGUCUGAGAGGACGAUCAGCCACACUGGAACUGAGACACGGUCCAGACUCCUACGGGAGGCAGCAGUGGGGAAUUUUCCGCAAUGGGCGAAAGCCUGACGGAGCAAUACCGCGUGAGGGACGAAGGCUUUUGGGUCGUAAACCUCUUUUCUCAAGGAAGAUGAUGACGGUACUUGAGGAAUAAGCAUCGGCUAACUCUGUGCCAGCAGCCGCGGUAAU